rnacentral:rRNA from 1 species
UAAUACGGAGGGUGCAAGCGUUAAUCGGAAUUACUGGGCGUAAAGCGCGCGUAGGUGGUUUGUUAAGUGUGAUGUGAAAGCCCAGGGCUUAACCUUGGAACUGCAUCACAUACUGGCAGGCUAGAGUACGGUAGAGGGGGGUAGAAUUCCACGUGUAGCGGUGAAAUGCGUAGAGAUGUGGAGGAAUACCGGUGGCGAAGGCGGCCCCCUGGAUCGAUACUGACGCUGAGGUGCGAAAGCGUGGGGAGCAAACAGG